rnacentral:rRNA from 1 species
GACGAACGCUGGCGGCGUGCCUAAUACAUGCAAGUAGAACGCUGAAGCUUGGUGCUUGCACCGAGCGGAUGAGUUGCGAACGGGUGAGUAACGCGUAGGUAACCUGCCUGGUAGCGGGGGAUAACUAUUGGAAACGAUAGCUAAUACCGCAUAAGAGUAGAUGUUGCAUGACAUUUGCUUAAAAGGUGCAAUUGCAUCACUACCAGAUGGACCUGCGUUGUAUUAGCUAGUUGGUGAGGUAACGGCUCACCAAGGCGACGAUACAUAGCCGACCUGAGAGGGUGAUCGGCCACACUGGGACUGAGACACGGCCCAGACUCCUACGGGAGGCAGCAGUAGGGAAUCUUCGGCAAUAGACGGAAGUCUGACCGAGCAACGCCGCGUGAGUGAAGAAGGUUUUCGGAUCGUAAAGCUCUGUUGUAAGAGAAGAACGAGUGUGAGAGUGGAAAGUUCACACUGGACGUAUCUACCAGAAAGGC